rnacentral:rRNA from 1 species
ACGGGUGAGUAACGCGUGAGGAACCUGCCUUCAAGAGGGGGAUAACAUCGAGAAAUCGAUGCUAAUACCGCAUAAGACCACAUUGCCGCAUGGCAAAGGGGUCAAAGCUAUUGCGCUUGAAGAUGGACUCGCGUCCCAUUAGCUAGUAGGCGGGGUAACGGCCCACCUAGGCAACGAUGGGUAGCCGAGCUGAGAGGCUGAUCGGCCACACUGGGACUGAGACACGGCCCAGACUCCUACGGGAGGCAGCAGUGGGGAAUAUUGGGCAAUGGGCGCAAGCCUGACCCAGCAACGCCGCGUGGAGGAAGAAGGUUUUCGGAUUGUAAACUUCUGUCCUCAAGGACGAAAAAAAUGACGGUACUUGGGGAGGAAGCCCCGGCUAACUACGUGCCAGCAGCCGCGGUAAUACGUAGGGGGCAAGCGUUGUCCGGAAUUACUGGGCGUAAAGGGAGCGUAGGCGGUCUUUUAAGUUAGAUGUGAAAUACCCGGGCUCAACUUGGGAGGUGCAUCUAAAACUGGGAGACUUGAGUGCAGGAGAGGAAAGUGGAAUUCCUAGU